CGCAGAUGAGAGGGCAUCGCACUACCUACUUUCCUUAUAAAAUAGGUCAGAGCAGAGCACAAAGGACCGACCAGUAUAUGCACACGCCUAUAGAGGAGGUAGUCAAAAACCACAGUUCACUCGCAUCCAUAUAAGUACCAUCAUCAAGCGGCUAUCGCAGCAUCCGAUCUCGCGUCGAUCCGAUCUCAUCAAUAUCGGUAUGCGUUAUCGCUAUCCACCGGCAGACGAGGCGGGCUUGAACGUCUGCUUCGAUAAUCACUCUGAGCACUAAGUCAGUAGUCAGUUAAACGCAAAGCAGGCUAGACGGUAUACCGACCAAAUUUGUGUAGUUGCCUGACUGGCAUUAUAUUUCGAUACAAGUGAAGUGCAUGAUAGAGUGGAAGUUAAUCUACGGAAUUGAAGUGGCAAAUCGAUAGUGAGGAGCUUGGCUCCAGCUAGCUUAUGAUACGUAGAUAUGUGUGCUGAAUUCAUUGGAAGCAUGGAGUAGCUAGCAUAAGAUUACUGUGAGAUCGGCCUUUCUUCCAUCCAAAACUAUGGUGGUGGCUGCCAUCGAGUGGAUCGGUGAUGGGCUCCCCGCAUCUGUACGAGGCGUGUGGCGUUGGAGAGUUCGGCAUUGUGCCGGUUAUAAGACGUUUGUCCGGGCAAGCGCGCCUU